rnacentral:rRNA from 1 species
AUGGAAGUUGAUUGUUUAGAGGUUGUCAACCUUUGGUUAUCGCGUGAGAGUUCGAGGUCAAUUGUUGCGCCUAUUCUACUUGACAUUGGGGAGAAAUGUUCAUCUUUCUUACCGUUCUCAGUUAGAUAUGUCCCAAGGGAGGCAAACCUUUUGGCAGACUCUUGUGCUAAAUGGGCCUGUUCCUUAUUGGUUUCAGACCGUUGGCUAGAGAGCUGUCCUCCUUUUCUCCUUAGUGGCCUGCGGGCAGAUUGUAAUCAUAUGAUAGUUAUGCAAUAA